UGCUGGAGGUAUCAGAAGUGCGAAUGCUGACAUAAGUAACGAUAAAGCGGGUGAAAAGCCCGCUCGCCGGAAGACCAAGGGUUCCUGUCCAACGUUAAUCGGGGCAGGGUGAGUCGACCCCUAAGGCGAGGCCGAAAGGCGUAGUCGAUGGGAAACAGGUUAAUAUUCCUGUACUUGGUGUUACUGCGAAGGGGGGACGGAGAAGGCUAUGUUAGCCGGGCGACGGUUGUCCCGGUUUAAGCAUGUAGGCGGAGGUUCCAGGUAAAUCCGGUACCUUUUAACGCUGAGGUGUGAUGACGAGGCACUACGGUGCUGAAGUAACAAAUGCCCUGCUUCCAGGAAAAGCCUCUAAGCAUCAGGUAACACGAAAUCGUACCCCAAACCGACACAGGUGGUCAGGUAGAGAAUACCAAGGCGCUUGAGAGAACUCGGGUGAAGGAACUAGGCAAAAUGGUGCCGUAACUUCGGGAGAAGGCACGCUGACAUGUAGGUGAAGCCCCUGCGGGUGGAGCUGAAGUCAGUCGAAGAUACCAGCUGGCUGCAACUGUUUAUUAAAAACACAGCACUGUGCAAACACGAAAGUGGACGUAUACGGUGUGACGCCUGCCCGGUGCCGGAAGGUUAAUUGAUGGGGUUAUCCUUAGGGAGAAGCUCUUGAUCGAAGCCCCGGUAAACGGCGGCCGUAACUAUAACGGUCCUAAGGUAGCGAAAUUCCUUGUCGGGUAAGUUCCGACCUGCACGAAUGGCGUAAUGAUGGCCAGGCUGUCUCCACCCGAGACUCAGUGAAAUUGAACUCGCUGUGAAGAUGCAGUGUACCCGCGGCAAGACGGAAAGACCCCGUGAACCUUUACUAUAGCUUGACACUGAACAUUGAGCCUUGAUGUGUAGGAUAGGUGGGAGGCUUUGAAGCGUGGACGCCAGUCUGCGUGGAGCCAACCUUGAAAUACCACCCUUUAAUGUUUGAUGUUCUAACCUGGCGCCGUAAUCCGGCGUGGGGACAGUGUCUGGUGGGUAGUUUGACUGGGGCGGUCUCCUCCUAAAGAGUAACGGAGGAGCACGAAGGUUGGCUAAUCCUGGUCGGACAUCAGGAGGUUAGUGCAAUGGCAUAAGCCAGCUUGACUGCGAGCGUGACGGCGCGAGCAGGUGCGAAAGCAGGUCAUAGUGAUCCGGUGGUUCUGAAUGGAAGGGCCAUCGCUCAACGGAUAAAAGGUACUCCGGGGAUAACAGGCUGAUACCGCCCAAGAGUUCAUAUCGACGGCGGUGUUUGGCACCUCGAUGUCGGCUCAUCACAUCCUGGGGCUGAAGUAGGUCCCAAGGGUAUGGCUGUUCGCCAUUUAAAGUGGUACGCGAGCUGGGUUUAGAACGUCGUGAGACAGUUCGGUCCCUAUCUGCCGUGGGCGCUGGAGAAUUGAGGGGGGCUGCUCCUAGUACGAGAGGACCGGAGUGGACGCAUCACUGGUGUUCGGGUUGUCAUGCCAAUGGCAUUGCCCGGUAGCUACAUGCGGAAGAGAUAAGUGCUGAAAGCAUCUAAGCACGAAACUUGCCCCGAGAUGAGUUCUCCCUGAGAC
rnacentral:rRNA from 1 species